rnacentral:rRNA from 1 species
GAUUGAGUUUGAUCCUGGCUCAGGAUGAACGCUGGCGGCGUGCCUAACACAUGCAAGCCGAACGGGGUAUAUAAGCGGAAGUUUACGGAUGGAAGGUUAUAUACUUAGUGGCGGACGGGUGAGUAACGCGUGGGCAACCUGCCCCGUGCCGGGGGAUACCGCCUGGAAACAGGCGCUAAUACCGCAUAAGCGCAUACAGCCGCAUGGGUGUAUGCGGAAAGCUCCGGCGGCACGGGAUGGGCCCGCGCCCGAUUAGCCAGUUGGCGGGGUAACGGCCCACCAAAGCGACGAUCGGUAGCCGGCCUGAGAGGGCGGACGGCCACAUUGGGACUGAGACACGGCCCAAACUCCUACGGGAGGCAGCAGUGGGGAAUAUUGCACAAUGGGGGAAACCCUGAUGCAGCAACGCCGCGUGGGUGAAGGAGCGUUUCGGCGCGUAAAGCCCUGUCAGCGGGGAAGAAGAAAGACGGUACCCGACCAAGAAGCCCCGGCUAACUACGUGCCAGCAGCCGCGGUAAUACGUAGGGGGCGAGCGUUAUCCGGAAUUACU